ensembl:snoRNA
CUGCGCCUCAGGUUAACACAGUGCCUUCAGAGGCUAACACGGAAGGGCAAAGUAAGUCUCCAUAAAACCCAGAGAAGACUCUGUGAACCCCUCUCUGGAUCCUGUCUGGACUCACAGCU